GAAAUGCGAUAAGUAGUGUGAAUUGCAGAAUUCAGUGAAUCAUCGAAUCUUUGAACGCACAUUGCGCCCCUUGGUAUUCCAUGGGGCAUGCCUGUUCGAGCGUCAUUUGUACCUUCAAGCUUUGCUUGGUGUUGGGUGUUUGUCCUCUCCCUAGUGUUUGGACUCGCCUUAAAACAAUUGGCAGCCAGUGUUUUGGUAUUGAAGCGCAGCACAAGUCGCGAUUUAAUCUAACAACACUUGCGUCCACAAGUCUUUUUUAACUUUUGACCUCGGAUCAGGUAGGGAUACCCGCUGAACUUAA
rnacentral:misc_RNA from 1 species